GUAUCAGCACUUAAUUUCUUUAAUAUUAUCAUGUAACUGAAUGCAUUCUUUUCAAAGCUUUGUCUACCAUACUCUCUUUAUUGAUGGAAUCACUUACCUAUGUGCCUCAGACAAUGCCUUAGAUACUGUAACACCAUCUGCAUUACUUAAAAAUGUUAGUGAGACUUUUCUGAGAAAUCCUUUGAUGUCACAAGAACAUUUUUCUCCAUCAAAUGCAGUUGCUACAGAUUUUCAACAAGUAUUAGGAAAGUAUAUGAUGAAAUACAAUAAAAAUCAAGAGGACAGCUCGAUAUCCGCACUGAAGAGUCAAGUAACUGAUGUAAAAAAUGUUAUGACCCAAAAUAUCGAUAAAAUUUUGGAAAGAGAAGAAAGAUUGAAUAUCUUCACUGAUAGAACAGAUGAUCUGCAAACAACUGCCAAAGAAUCCCCCAAAAAAAGAAAGAUUCUUGGGAGGAUAUGGUGGAAACACUUCAAAAAGAUUAUAGUCAUCACCAUGGCCAUUCUCCUUUCAAUAAUCAUCAUUCUUUUAAGUACAAAUGUAAUACCAGCUUGACCCUUCUCCCCAUCCCCAGCAGGUACCAAUAAAUUGUUAUAUGUAAUUAUAGAGUUCUACAACCAACAAUUACAAAAGCCUUCUCUAGUGGUAGGAGGAAUGGAGGAAAAGGGGGUUGGAAGUAUUUCCUUGUCCCUUUAGUGUUCCUUGACUCUUGUCUUUGU
rnacentral:lncRNA from 1 species